AUUUGGACUCUCAGGGUCACCGCUCAGUCCUGACAUCACCUCUCAGCUGGUGCCUCUGUGCCUGGGGCUGCGGUUUUCUUAUCUGUCAAUGGCAGGCUUAGCACCUGUCCCGUCACCUCACAGGGAUGGCGGGAGGUGCCAGUCAGGCAGCCUUCAUAAGAAGUUCCAAGACCAGGGAGUGCACUUGCCUUAGGGCCAUGCGUCCCCUCUCUGGCGCAGAGAGCCCGAGGCAGAGACGUCCCCCGGCAGGCUGUGUCCCCGUUCGUAUCUGUCUGGCCAGCGGACGGACUGGUCCACACUUGAUUCACCUGUUUUCCAGCCCCCAGCAUGGAGUCAGUGCUUAAUACGUGUUUGCGGCAUGAACCAACGCCUCUUCUGGCUCAGUCCAAACUCAGAAGCACGGUGCCGUUCAGAUGGACCCACAGGCUUUGGAAGAGCAGGUCCUUCUCUCCGCCAGGAAGGCAGGCCAUGAAAGGGCACAGAAGAAAAUGUUUUGUGUGGCUCCUGAACCCCAUAACAGGCCAAGAGAAAAAUCGGGGAGAAAGAGAAUGACAGGGAGACAGAAUGAAAAAAGGAAAAGGAGGUGAAAGGAAAGAAAGAAGAAGGAGAGGCUGGGCGUGGUGGCUCAUGCCUACAACCUCCACACUUCGGGAGGCCGAGGUGCGUGGAUCCCCUGAGGCCAGGAGUUUGAGAGCAGCCUGGGCAACAUGGCAAAACUCAUCUCUACUAAAACCACAAAACAAUUAGCCAGGUGUGGCGAUGGAAGCCUGUGGUCCCAGCUACUCAGGAGGUUAUGGCAGGAGAACCGCUGGAACCCGGGAGGCGGAGGCUGCAGUGAGCGGGGAUCACACCACUGCACCUCAGCCUGGGCAACAGAGCGAGACCCUGUCUCAAAAAAAGGAAGGAAGGAGGGAAGGGAGGGAGGGAAAGGAAGGAAAGAAGGAAGAAAGGAAGAAAGAAGGAAGGAGGGAGGGAGGGAGAGAGAGAGGGAGGAAGGGAGAGAGGGAAAGGAAGAAAAAAGAAGGAAGGAGAGAAGGAGGCAACAGAGCGAGACUCUGUCUCCAAAAAGAAAAAGAAGACAAAAUUGCAACUACAAAACUAGACACCAACCUGAAUAUUUAUUAGAGUGGAAAGGAAAAAUCACAAGUCGGGUGUUACGAAGCUCAGAGAUAUUGCAAACACCACAAAACAUAGGAAAACGCUGUUCUUGUUUCUUAACUCCCUGACCCGUUUCCAGAAUGCCGUUUUUCUCUAUUUUGGGUUACAUACUGUUUUACCACCUCCUGAUACAGCAAUACUUUUAUAAUUAUAAUUUUUUCCUGGAAAGAGAAUAGAAAGAUAUUUCGAUUCUAUUUUAAACAUGGGUAAUGGAAAUUCAUUAUUAUUGAUGGAUUAAAACAGUUUCUUUCAUGAUUUUGACCAAGUUUUUGUUUCUAUUGUGAUAUAUGAAGAGGGAUUUUGAUUUUGGUUUUUUUUUUUUUUUUUUUUUUUGAGACGGAGUUUCACUCUUGUUACCCAGGCUGGAGUGCAAUGGUGCAAUCUCAGCUCACCGCAACCUCCGCCUCCUGGGUUCAGGCAAUUCUCCUGCCUCAGCCUCCUGAGUAGCUGGGAUUACAGGCACGUGCCACCAUGCCCAGCUAAUUUUUUGUAUUUUCAGUAGAGACGGGGUUUCACCUUGUUGACCAGGAUGGUCUUGAUCUCUUGACCUCGUGAUCCACCCACCUCAGCCUCCCAAAGUGCUGGGAUUACAGGCGUGUGCCACUGGGAUUUUGAUGUUUUAAAGGCUCCAUCGGCCUUACGCCUUUCAGCUUACUCAUUAGGAUUCUACGAGGAUACUUCUUAUCACAUUUAAUUUUGGAAUUUCAAUAAUUCUGAAACAAAUAUAUAUAGAGAAGUGACGUGAAAUUAAAUUAUACGCAACCACCACUCAGAGGCAUGUUUUCAUCUGUCACUACAUUGGAUUCAGCUACUCAGUUACAGCAUCGAAUUUCUCUCCUACACGAUACCUUGAGCUACUGGUGGCUCUGCCAUGGAAGCCCUGUGCCUGUGUCUCCAGACCGUUUCACUGCACUGGGGCAGUUUUGUGUUUCUGUCAUCUGGAGCUACCAGAUUGUCGGGACAAGAUGCAACACACACUCUAAAAGGGACUGGGGCUGGGCUCCGUGGCUCACGCCUGUAAUCCCAGCACUUUGGGAGGCCGAGGCAGGUGGAUCACCUGAGGUCAGGAGUUUGAGACCAGCCUGACCAACAUGGCAAAACCUCAUAUCUGCUAAAAACACAAAAAUUAGCCAGGUGUGGUGGUGGGCACCUGUAAUCCCAGCUACUCCGAUUCUCCUGCUGAGGCAGGAGAAUUGUGUGAGCCCAGGAGAUGGAGGUUGUGGCCAGCAAACUUCGCACCACUGCACUCCAGCCUGGGCGACGGAGCGAGACUCCAUCUCAAAAAAAUAGAGGGGGAUCGAUCGGGUGCCUUAAGAUGCGUGUGCAUGUUUGAUUCAUCGAGAGAGGUGGUUUUGCAAAGGUGCUCUGCAAACCCGGCAGCUCUGCUAAGUUUGAUUUUGCGAUGCUUCUCACUGAAAGAGGAAUAGUGCACGGAGCGUAGUGUGGUGUGUUUGCAACCAAAUCCCCAGCAACGUGGAGUGUAUUUCUGAAAGGAAAGAACUUUCCCUCUCACCACACUUCCGUGAGCACUGAAUCGCCACUCGCGACCCUGCACGCCGGGUGGCAGGCAGAAGGCUCUACUCCCUAACUGCAGCUGCACGCAUUGCAAACU
ensembl:lncRNA